rnacentral:lncRNA from 11 species
UUCGUUCCACAUUAGUACAUAGCGUGGCUAUGAUUUACCUUCCUAAGCACGUUUCUACGUUCGAGCGAAUUACUAUUUGUGACAAAGUCUUCCAUGGACGAAGCAAGCACUCUUUAACGAACUCACGAGCAUCGAGAUCGCGAGUCAAGAUCGAGAACAAUGCGAAGAAUGCUUCCUUGGAUCGCAAGGAUAGUUAAAUUGGAAAUUCUAGAAGUGGAAGAAAGAGAAAGAGGAUAGCUUUUUGACAAGACUCUAUGCAGAUCGUGCAUAAGAUCGGAAAAGCAUGGACGUUUGCUGGCAGAAUCAUGUUAACGACCAGGUGUCCUAAUCACACAAAACAUUUUAUUGCCAGAAAUGAUUAGACUCGUAAUGUAGCAGAAGUCCAGGAAAUGAAAUAACUCGAUCGGAAAUCGAACAGAACUGUCAAAACUAUAAGAGAUAAUACCAAAAGCAUUGACAUGAAAGAACGAUGGUUACGGAUAGCACGACUGAUCAUGCAAAGUGUUACUACACUUGAAAGUAACAUCCAAUAAUGCUUUCGUGUUACCAUUUCUAUUAUUUCAAUUAAAAUCGCUUUUCCUGAAAAGCUUGUUUGAAUUGUAUCAUCUUUUAAAUACAUAUGCAAUAUUACCAAGGUACAUAAUAUAUCUAAAUA